rnacentral:rRNA from 1 species
UCCAGACUCCUACGGGAGGCAGCAGUGGGGAAUAUUGGGCAAUGGGCGCAAGCCUGACCCAGCAACGCCGCGUGAAGGAAGAAGGCUUUCGGGUUGUAAACUUCUUUUAUUGAGGACGAAACAAAUGACGGUACUCAAUGAAUAAGCCACGGCUAACUACGUGCCAGCAGCCGCGGUAAUACGUAGGUGGCAAGCGUUAUCCGGAUUUACUGGGUGUAAAGGGCGUGUAGGCGGGACUGCAAGUCAGAUGUGAAAUCCAUGGGCUCAACCCAUGGCCUGCAUUUGAAACUGUAGUUCUUGAGUGAUGGAGAGGCAGGCGGAAUUCCGUGUGUAGCGGUGAAAUGCGUAGAUAUACGGAGGAACACCAGUGGCGAAGGCGGCCUGCUGGACAUUAACUGACGCUGAGGCGCGAAAGCGUGGGGAGCAAACAGGAUUAGAUACCCCAGUACCA